UUAAGCAUAUCAAUAAGCGGAGGAAAAGAAACCAACAGGGAUUGCCUCAGUAACGGCGAGUGAAGCGGCAACAGCUCAAAUUUGAAAUCUGGCCCCGUCGGGGUCCGAGUUGUAAUUUGUAGAGAGUGUUUCGGGUGAGACCACGGUCUAAGUCUAUUGGAACAUGGCGUCAUAGAGGGUGAGAAUCCCGUAUGUGACCGUGGCUCGAGCCCAUGUGAAGCCUCUUCGACGAGUCGAGUUGUUUGGGAAUGCAGCUCAAAAUGGGUGGUAAAUUUCAUCUAAAGCUAAAUACUGGCUGGAGACCGAUAGCGCACAAGUAGAGUGAUCGAAAGAUGAAAAGCACUUUGGAAAGAGAGUCAAAAAGUACGUGAAAUUGUUGAAAGGGAAGCGCUUGCAACCAGACCUGUCCGUAGGUGAUCAGCCGCUGUUCUCAGCGGUGCACUCGCUCUGCGAUCAGGCCAGCAUCGGUUUCGGCGGUCGGAUAAAGGCCUUGGGAAUGUAGCUUCCUUCGGGAAGUCUUAUAGCCCUCGGUGCAAUGCGGCCAGCCGGGACCGAGGACCGCGCUUCGGCUAGGAUGCUGGCGUAAUGGUUGUAAGCGACCCGUCUUGAAACACGGACCAAGGAGUCUAACAUCUAUGCGAGUGUUUGGGUGUUAAACCCAUGCGCGGAAUGAAAGUGAACGGAGGUGAGAACCCUUUAGGGCGCAUCAUCGACCGAUCCAGAUGUCUUCGGAUGGAUUUGAGUAUGAGCAUAGCUGUUGGGACCCGAAAGAUGGUGAACUAUGCCUGAAUAGGGUGAAGCCAGAGGAAACUCUGGUGGAGGCUCGCAGCGGUUCUGACGUGCAAAUCGAUCGUCAAAUYUGGGUAUA
rnacentral:rRNA from 1 species